rnacentral:ncRNA from 1 species
ACUAAGGAGUCAAUCUUAUAUACGAAUACCCGGGCGUAAAACCCUAGCGCGGAAUGAAAGUAAACGUAAGUAAAAGCUUUAGCGUAUUACCGACCGAUCCUAAUAUCCUCGGACGGAUUUAAGUAAGAGUAUAUAGGGUUAGACCCGAAAGAAGAUAAACUAUACGUAUAUAAGGUAAAGCUAGAGGAAACUCUAGUAGAGGCUCGUAGCGGUUCUAACGUAUAAAUCGAUCGUUAAAUAUACGUAUAGGGGCGAAAGAUUAAUCGAAUCUUCUAAUAGCUAGUUUCCGCUAAAGUUUCCCUUAGGAUAGUAAUAUUAAUCCUAGUUUUAUAAGGUAAAGCGAAUAAUUAAGGACUCGGGGGUGCUAUUUAGCCUUUAUCUAUUCUUAAACUUUAAAUAUAUAAGAAGUCCCCGUUACUUUAUUAAACGCGGACGCUAGAAUAGAAUAAUACUAAUAGGCUAUUUUUAGUAAGUAGAACUAGUAAUAUAGGAUAAACUGAACGCGAGGUUAAGGUACUAGAGUAGACGCUUAUUAAAUACUAUAAAAGGUAUUAAUAUAUCUUAAUAGCAGGACGGUAGCUAUAGAAGUCGGAAUCCGCUAAGGACUAUAUAAUAACUUACUUACCGAAUAUAUUAGCCCUGAAAAUGGAUAGCGCUCAAGCGUCCUACCUAUACCUCGCCCUCGGCGUAGGCUCGGCGCAUCGAGGAGUAGGCGGACGUAGAGGUCGGUAACGAAGCCUAGGACGUGAGUCCGGGUAGAACGGCCUCUAAUGCAGAUCUUGGU